rnacentral:rRNA from 1 species
GUCAAAGCUUACUUCCAUAAUUUUUUAAUACUAUUAUUUACAAUGAACCCUUUAUUUUUACUGAAUAUUUCUAUAAAGUUAUAGAACCUUUUAUGUUGAAACUAGUAACAAGAAGUUAAACUUCUCCUCAAUAUAAGUAUAAGUCGACUAGGAUAAACCAUCGACAAUUAACGCUUAAAUUAAAUGUAUUAACUCCACAAGAAAAACUUACAUUACCCCACGUUAAUCUUACACCAGAACAUUUAAGGAAAGAUUUAAAAAAAAGGAAGGAACUCGGCAAACAUUAACCCCGCCUGUUUACCAAAAACAUCGCCUUCUGAUAUAUUAUAGAAGGUCCAGCCUGCCCAGUGAAUUAAUUUAACGGCCGCGGUAUCCUAACCGUGCGAAGGUAGCGUAAUCACUUGUUCUUUAAAUGAGGACUAGUAUGAAUGGCACCACGAAGGUUAUACUGUCUCCCUUUUUUGAUCAGUUAAACUAAUCUUCACGUGAAGAAGCGUGAAUAAACAUAUAAGACGAGAAGACCCUAUGGAGCUUAAAAUUACACAACAAUUGUUAAAAAAAUCCUAAAUUUUAUAAAUAAUUUUUUACUAAACACCAUGAUUGCUAAUUUUUGGUUGGGGUGACCGCGGAGUAAAAAUUAACCUCCACAAUGAAAGAAAUCAAUAUUCUAAACUAAGAGCUACAACUCAAAGUAUUAAUAUUUUAACAUUCUUUGAUCCAAUAUUUGAUCAACGAACAAAGUUACCCUAGGGAUAACAGCGCAAUCUACUUUGAGAGCUCCUAUCGACAAGUAGGUUUACGACCUCGAUGUUGGAUCAGGGUAUCCUAGUGGUGCAGCCGCUACU